rnacentral:rRNA from 1 species
CCGAUCCCCGACUGGCUGCCUCCGGCUUUCCGUCUCUCGUCGCGGCACGCGGGGUGAGUCCCUUUCCUCCGCCUCUGCCGCGUCGGGGUUAUUAGGGCGGGGUCGGCGGGCGAAGGUCUUUUUAUUCUGUGGAAACCUGCUCGACAGGGGGGCGCAGGCCCGGGACUUGCCAGGGACGCCACGCGUCCCCCAAGGUGCGUCUUUUUAGGCGCGCCGGCCGGGGUCGAGUGCGCAGUCGGCAAGUACCAGGAGCAGGCAUGUUGGGACCCGAAAGAUGGUGAACUAUGCCUGGCCAGGAUGAAGCCAGAGGAAACUCUGGUGGAGGUCCGUAGCGAUUCUGACGUGCAAAUCGAUCGUCAGAGCUGGGUAUAGGGGCGAAAGACUAAUCGAACCAUCUAGUAGCUGGUUCCCUCCGAAGUUUCCCUCAGGAUAGCUGGAACUCAUCACCAGAUGAAUUUCAUCCGGUAAAGCGAAUGAUUAGAGGUCUUGGGGACGAAACGUCCUCAACCUAUUCUCAAACUUUAAAUGGGUGAGAUGCCGAGCUUGCUUAAAAGAUGAAGCUUCGGCGACGAAUCGGAGUUCCUAGUGGGCCACUUUU